rnacentral:rRNA from 1 species
GGAUGCGAGCUUACACAUGCAGUCGCACGGUCAGCAAUGGCAGUGGCGGACGGGUGAGUAACGCGUAGGUAUCUAUCCACGGGUGGGGGACAACGUCGGGAAACUGACGCUAAUACCGCAUGAUACCCGAGGGUCAAAGGCGCAAGUCGCCUGUGGAGGAGCCUGCGUACGAUUAGCUUGUUGGUGGGGUAAAGGCCUACCAAGGCGACGAUCGUUAGCUGGUCUGAGAGGAUGAUCAGCCACAUUGGGACUGAGACACGGCCCAAACUCCUACGGGAGGCAGCAGUGGGGAAUAUUGCACAAUGGGCGAAAGCCUGAUCCAUCAAUGCCGCGUGUGUGAAGAAGGUCUUCGGAUUGUAAAGCACUUUCGGCGGGGACGAUGAUGACGGUACCCGCAGAAGAAGCCCCGGCUAACUUCUUGCCAGCAUCCGCGGUUUUUCAAAGGGGGCUAGCGUUGCUCGCAAUGACUGGUCGUAAAGGGCGCCUAGGCGGUUUGUACAGUCAGAUGUGAAAUUCCUGGUCUUAACCUGGGGACUGCAUUUGAGACGUGCAUACUUGUGUGUGGAAAAGGGUCGUGCAAUUCCCAGUGUCUAGGUGAAAUUCUUACAUAUUGGAAUAAACACCGAUGGAGAAGGCUGUCACCUGUUCCCUAUAUGACGCUAAAACUCGAAAACGAGCGCGAGUAAACAAAAUUAAAUACCUUGGCUGUCCACUGAUGCUAACAAUGUGUAGCUGUUUGUUAGCCAACCUUAUUUGCAUACUGGUUUUAAUUCACGCCGUAAACAAUCCCACUUAGGAAUUU